rnacentral:misc_RNA from 1 species
CUGUGUGUGUGUGUGUGUGUGUGUGUGUGUUCGCGCAUACGCAUUCGUGGCCACCAACCACCUCCUCCACCACCCCCCCUCUCUCUUACUCUAACUGGAAUCAACUUUGCGGGGGCUGCCCAUCUCGGCCACCACCACCCCUUUCAACACGAAAUUCUUUUCUUGUGGCUGUUCGCUUCUGUAGGUGAAAGGCGUACUCUUUGGCGGCGCCACACUACCCCGCACGUGGCUCUUAAUCGGCUGCUGCACAGCGUGUCUUGUGGAGCAGUUUCCAGGGGCUGGGCAUCGCACGCUUCCCUCCUUGUUUUCCUGUCGCAUAGAAGAAUAGUAAAAAUGAGCACUCCUGGAACCAACUCGUCUGCCUCUGCGAAGGCGUCAAGUCCUAUCGUGCACCGAGAUCGCAGAGGGGCGUCAGCGGGCGAUGGCAAACCACUUUCCGCAAAUGAUCCGCCGCAGCAAUCGGCGGCGUUUGGGUCUGUCUCGCCGCUGCCGCCGAAGCUGAGCACUGCAGCUUCUGCUGCCACAACCGCUUCGGCACCCGCCUCGCCAUCUCCUGAAAUGGACAACCUGGAGUGUCAGUCGAAGGACUUCCUCAUCCAACGCGUGCAAGCGCUGGAGCGGCAGCUGAAGAUACGCAACAGCGACUGCGCGCGCCUGCUAGAGGAGCGCCAGCAACUGCUUCCGCUCAAAGAGAAGUGCGAGUCGCAGAGAGAGAUGAUAUUGGCGCUGCGCGAUCAACUGAACUUGGCACAGGCACAACACGAGUCCGUCAUCGACGCAUUGGAGGAGAUGAAGCGCCAGCAGCGCGACAAAGAGCACCGCGAGCGCGUGGCCCACGCUGAGCGAGUCAUCUAUGGCGCUAGUGCCGCCCCGAAGGCUACAGCUGGCGGCACGAAUAGGCCCGAAACCUCUAGCUCGCCCGCCACCAACGCGGCGCCCAGCUACAAGCCCGCUUCGGCGCUGAGAGCCAACAACCCGGCGCGGCGUGCUCCUGGGGGGACGGUGGUAAACACCUCGUCCGGGCCACAAAUAAUUUACGACAGCUCCGAUAUCUCCUCCGUUGGCUUCACCAAGAAUGCAAAGCUGCCGUACGACUUCCUGGGUGGGCCUGGAGCGCAGCUACAGUAUCUCGCUCCGUCCCGCGGAAGCGCGGGCAAGGAGGCUGGAGAGCAGCCGGAAGGCGGCUUUGACGCUUCGGAUGAUGCGCAGGUGCGCCGCACCAUGGCGGCGGCGGCGGAGGCGAUUGAGUUGGAUGCCAAGCACGCAGAGAUGGAGGAAAAGGAGCACAGGGCACUACUGGAGCGCCUAAAGGCGCUGCGUGAAGGACACAAGUAAUGGACGCCACCACCCACUUCCUCUCGCUCCCAACCGCUAGAGGAUCCAGCAGCACCUCCGUCAACCCACCCUUCCCCUUGCAGCAAUCAAGCAGGAGAAGCCCACCACAGCCCGCUGUGCUUUCGGUGUUCAGGGCGAGUACACCCACACUCAUGACGUUAGUCGGCUUAGCUGUACCUGAUUGUCUGCUGCCUCGCUUUUAGGCAACGGAAGUGACAAAAGAGAGAGGAGAGAGUCGAUAGACUGUGUACAACAGGGGAUUAUGGAAAGGUGAAAGGGAGUGGUGCAAGCUGAGCGCCCCACAUCUUCGAAGCGCUUCGCCAUUUCGUUUUGUUGCUCGCAGCAGUUGCCGCCCUGGUGUCUCUCUCUAUGCCCCUGCGCUCUUUCUUCGUUCUUCCACCUCUUCUCCUUCGCCCGCUUCAUCAAAUCCCUUGUGCGCGAUGAGCUCGUAG